rnacentral:rRNA from 1 species
AUUGAACGCUGGCGGCAUGCCUUACACAUGCAAGUCGAACGGCAGCACGGGAGCAAUCCUGGUGGCGAGUGGCGAACGGGUGAGUAAUAUAUCGGAACGUGCCCAGUCGUGGGGGAUAACGUAGUGAAAAUUACGCUAAUACCGCAUACGAUCUAUGGAUGAAAGCGGGGGAUCGCAAUACCUCGCGCGAUUGGAGCGGCCGAUAUCAGAUUAGGUAGUUGGUGGGGUAAAGGCCCACCAAGCCAACGAUCUGUAGCUGGUCUGAGAGGAAGACCAGCCACACUGGAACUGAGACACGGUCCAGACUCCUACGGGAGGCAGCAGUGGGGAAUUUUGGACAAUGGGCGAAAGCCUGAUCCAGCCAUUCCGCGUGCAGGAUGAAGGCCCUCGGGUUGUAAACUGCUUUUGUACAGAACGAAAAGGUUUCUACUAAUACUAGGAGCUCAUGACGGUACUGUAAGAAUAAGCACCGGCUAACUACGUGCCAGCCGCCGCCGUAACAC